rnacentral:lncRNA from 1 species
AUUGGACGUGCAUUAGAGUAGAGGUGGAGAUCUAGCCAGAGUAGGAUCUUGCCAUCUUGGUAAGAUGGAAUUAUUAGCUGAUUCUAGUGAUAUUUUUGCCAUUCUUCUCUAGACUCUGAAGAAAGACGGAAGGGCAAUAGUAUUUAUGUUAACUUGGAAAUUUGAAUGGAGUUGUUGUGGUCACAUAUUUGUGUUAUUUAUGUCAACUAUAUAUUGCUAAUUAUUAAUUAUACAAGUGUACAUAGCACCUGUUCGAUUUAUUUUGUGGCCGGUUCAAUUUAGUGGUUCAAUACUAUUGAACCAGCGGUUCAUCGGUUCCUAACGGUUGAAC